AUGGACUCAGCCCCCAGAUAUCUAUCCAACUUUUUUUAUAUUUCUUACCAGAGCCAGAGACUCUAAUAUUCACAGUUUUUUAAAUAUGAGUCUAUCUGGAAAGAACAGAUGUGUAUAUACUGUAUACCAGCGCUGUUGAGUAGAACACCACAGAAACUCCAAGCCAUACCAACCAUAACCACUUUAAAAAGAAUGUAACAAGCUGACGACUGUGUGAACAGUAGAACUUGAUUUUAUCCAGCUCUGUAAUGUAUCUGUAAUGUGUCUCUGUAAUGUAUCUCUGUAAUGUAUCUCUGUAAUGUGUCUGUGUCUCUGGAAUGUGUCUGUAUCUCUGUAAUGUGUCUCUGUAAUAUGUCUGUAUCUCUGUAAUGUGUCUCUGUAAUGUGUCUCUGUAAUGUGUCUGUAUCUCUGUAAUGUGUCUGUGUCUCUGUAAUGUGUCUGUCUCUGUAAUGUCUCUGUCUCUGUAAUGUGUCUCUGUAAUGUGUCUGUAAUGUGUCUGUGUCUCUGUAAUGUGUCUGUAUCUCUGUAAUGUGUCUCUGUAAUGUGUCUGUAUCUCUGUAAUGUGUCUGUGUCUCUGUAAUGUGUCUGUAUCUCUGUAAUGUGUCUGUAUCUCUGUAAUGUGUCUCUGUAAUGUGUCUGUAUCUCUGUAAUGUGUCUCUGUAAUGUGUCUGUAUCUCUGUAAUGUGUCUCUGUAAUGUGUCUGUGUCUCUGUAAUGUGUCUGUGUCUCUGUAAUGUGUCUGUAUCUCUGUAAUGUAUCUCUGUAAUGUGUCUGUAUCUCUGUAAUGUAUCUGUAUCUCUGUAAUGUGUCUCUGUAAUGUGUCUGUAUCUCUGUAAUGUGUCUCUGUAAUGUGUCUGUAUCUCUGUAAUGUGUCUCUGUAAUGUGUCUGUAUCUAUAUAAUGUGUCUGUAUCUCUGUAAUGUGUCUGUAUCUCUGUAAUGUGUCUGUAUCUCUGUAAUGUGUCUGUAUCUCUGUAAUGUGUCUGUAUCUCUGUAAUGUGUCUGUCUCUGUAAUGUGUCUGUAUCUAUAUAAUGUGUCUGUAUCUCUGUAAUGUGUCUGUCUCUGUAAUGUGACUGUAUCUCUGUAAUGUGUCUGUAUCUCUGUAAUGUGUCUGUGUAAUGUGUCUGUAUCUCUGUAAUGUGUCUCUGUAAUGUGUCUGUAUCUCUGUAAUGUGUCUCUGUAAUGUGUCUGUAUCUCUGUAAUGUGUCUGUGUCUCUGUAAUGUGUCUGUAUCUCUGUAAUGUGUCUCUGUAAUGUGUCUCUGUAAUGUGUCUGUAUCUCUGUAAUGUGUCUCUGUAAUGUGUCUGUAUCUCUGUAAUGUGUCUGUAUCUCUGUAAUGUCUCUGUAAUGUGUCUGUAUCUCUGUAAUGUGUCUGUAUCUCUGUAAUGUGUCUGUAUCUCUGUAAUGUCUCUGUAAUGUGUCUGUAUCUAUGUAAUGUGUCUGUAUCUCUGUAAUGUGUCUGUAUCUCUGUAAUGUGUCUGUAUCUCUGUAAUGUGUCUGUAUCUCUGUAAUGUGUCUGUAUCUAUAUAAUGUGUCUGUAUCUCUGUAAUGUGUCUGUAUCUCUGUAAUGUGUCUGUAUCUCUGUAAUGUGUCUGUAUCUCUGUAAUGUGUCUGUAAUGUGUCUGUAUCUCUGUAAUGUGUCUGUAUCUCUUCUGUAUCUCUGUAAUGUGUCUGUAAUGUGUCUGUAUCUCUGUAAUGUGUCUGUAAUGUGUCUGUAUCUCUGUAAUGUGUCUGUAUCUGUAAUGUGUCUGUAUCUCUGUAAUGUAUCUCUGUAAUGUGUCUGUAUCUCUGUAAUGUAUCUCUGUAAUGUGUCUGUAUCUCUGUAAUGUGUCUGUAUCUCUAUAAUGUGUCUGUGUCUCUGUAAUGUGUCUGUGUCUCUGUAAUGUGUCUGUGUCUCUGUAAUUUGUCUGUAAUGUGUCUGUAUCUCUGUAAUGUAUCUCUGUAAUGUGUCUGUAUCUCUGUAAUGUAUCUCUGUAAUGUGUCUGUGUCUCUGUAAUGUGUCUGUGUCUCUGUAAUGUGUCUGUAUCUCUGUAAUGUGUCUGUAUCUCUGUAAUGUGUCUGUAUCUCUGUAAUGUGUCUGUAUCUCUGUAAUGUGUCUCUGUAAUGUGUCUGUAUCUCUGUAAUGUGUCUGUAAUGUGUCUGUAUCUCUGUAAUGUAUCUCUGUAAUGUGUCUGUAUCUAUAUAAUGUAUCUCUGUAAUGUGUCUGUAUCUAUAUAAUGUGUCUGUAUCUCUGUAAUGUGUGUCUGUAACUCUGUAAUGUGUCUGUAUCUCUGUAAUGUGUCUGUAUCUCUGUAAUGUAUCUCUGUAAUGUGUCUGUAUCUCUGUAAUGUGUCUGUAUCUCUAUAAUGUGUCUGUGUCUCUGUAAUGUGUCUGUGUCUCUGUAAUGUGUCUGUGUCUCUGUAAUUUGUCUGUAAUGUGUCUGUAUCUCUGUAAUGUGUCUGUAUCUCUGUAAUGUAUCUCUGUAAUGUGUCUGUAUCUCUGUAAUGUGUCUGUAUCUCUGUAAUGUGUCUGUGUCUCUGUAAUGUGUCUGUGUCUCUGUAAUGUGUCUGUAUCUCUGUAAUGUGUCUGUAUCUCUGUAAUGUGUCUGUAUCUCUGUAAUGUGUCUGUAUCUCUGUAAUGUGUCUCUGUAAUGUGUCUGUAUCUCUGUAAUGUCUCUGUUAAGUGUCUGUGUCUCUGUAAUGUGUCUGUGUCUCUGUAAUGUGUCUGUAUCUCUGUAAUGUAUCUCUGUAAUGUGUCUGUAUCUCUGUAAUGUGUCUCUGUAAUGUGUCUGUAUCUCUGUAAUGUGUCUGUAUCUCUGUAAUGUGUCUGUGUCUUUGUAAUGUGUCUGUAAUGUGUCUGUAUCUCUGUAAUGUGUCUGUAUCUCUGUAAUGUGUCUCUGUAAUGUGUCUGUGUCUCUGUAAUGUGUCUGUAUCUCUGUAAUGUGUCUGUAUCUCUGUAAUGUGUCUCUGUAAUGUGUCUGUAUCUCUGUAAUGUGUCUGUAUCUCUGUAAUGUGUCUGUAUCUCUGUAAUGUGUCUCUGUAAUGUGUCUGUGUCUCUGUAAUGUGUCUGUAUCUCUGUAAUGUGUCUGUAUCUCUGUAAUGUGUCUGUAUCUCUGUAAUGUGUCUGUAUCUCUGUAAUGUAUCUCUGUAAUGUGUCUGUAUCUCUGUAAUGUGUCUGUCUCUGUAAUGUGUCUGUAUCUCUGUAAUGUGUCUGUAUCUCUGUAAUGUGUCUGUAUCUCUGUAAUGUCUCUGUAAUGU
rnacentral:lncRNA from 1 species